UUCAGUUGGUGUCAUGGAAGGACAGAAUGCUGGAAUUAAAAGACUGUUGCAUUUGAAUAUGAUCGCAGGAGAAAGGGAGAUCCCCAACACCUUGCUUUUUUAGCCGAGUCAGUAAAAGAGCCUGUUGUGCUCCCUGUGGAAUUUCAACCAAAACCAGAAAGGACAGAUGUGCAUCUAAUCAGUGAAAAUACAACUUUCCUAACAAAAACAAGACCAUAUAUGACAUACUGGAAAAAGACCUGAGUAGACAAAUUGCCUCAGAGGAAUGGGGUUUGAUCUGGAAAAGAGGACCAGCAACCUUAGGCUGUAGCACAAUAAAAUAAAAUAUCUUUAAAAUACUAUUUCAAUGAUACCUCACACAAGUCAGGUUAAAGAGAGGGAGACUGAAUGGGGAUAAAUAUUGGAGGAAUUGUGGAGAAUGAGAUUUUAUGCAUAUAUGGUGGAUAUAUUGGAGAUGCAAUAUGUAACCAAAUAUCACAAAAUGUUGGAUAUUUCUUACCAAAUUAUCCUUUGGUCAUCCUGCCGGGGUUCUCAGUGGAAAUGGUCAGACAAAAAGAAAUGAAGAAUUAAUUUCUCAUUUGCCAGUAGCUGCCAGGCUACCAAUAACCUUUCACUGGAAAAAGAAAAAUGUCGAACCGUAGAGGAAUCGUUCAUUUAUAUAUAAGCAAAAUAGACAGAAGACAAAUAGACAUAUAUCUAUUUGGUUAUCUUUUAUUCAAUACACAAAGUACAUUAACCUGCAAAAAACCUGUAUAACUGUCUAAUUUUUUGAAAUAUUACCAAUUGAUAGAAAUGCCUGGUCUGUUAAAUAUGCACAAUCAGAUAUUUCACUCAGUUUAAUAAAAAUCACUAAAAAUGAUGAGUUGUAAGUGUUGUA